rnacentral:rRNA from 1 species
AGAGUUUGAUCCUGGCUCAGGAUGAACGCUAGCGGCAGGCCUAAUACAUGCAAGUCGAGGGGUAACAGGGUAGCAAUACCGCUGACGACCGGCGCACGGGUGCGUAACGCGUAUGCAACCUACCUUUAACUGGGGGAUAGCCCCGAGAAAUCGGGAUUAAUACCGCAUAACAUUGUGAUAUGGCAUCAUAUUACAAUUAAAACUCCGGUGGUUAAAGAUAGGCAUGCGUGACAUUAGUUAGUUGGUGAGGUAACGGCUCACCAAGACUACGAUGUCUAGGGGUUCUGAGAGGAUGAUCCCCCACACUGGUACUGAGACACGGACCAGACUCCUACGGGAGGCAGCAGUAAGGAAUAUUGGUCAAUGGACGCAAGUCUGAACCAGCCAUGCCGCGUGCAGGAAGACGGCCUUAUGGGUUGUAAACUGCUUUUAUAUAGGAAUAAACUCAUGUUCGUGAACAUGACUGAAGGUACUAUAAGAAUAAGGACCGGCUAACUCCGUGCCAGCAGCCGCGGUAAUACGGAGGGUCCAAGCGUUAUCCGGAUUUAUUGGGUUUAAAGGGUGCGCAGGCGGACCUAUUAGUCAGUGGUGAAAUCUCGGGGCUCAACUCCGAAACUGCCAUUGAUACUGUAGGUCUUGAGUUUGGUUGAAGUGGGCGGAAUGUAGCAUGUAGCGGUGAAAUGCAUAGAUAUGCUACAGAACACCGAUCGCGAAGGCAGCUCACUAAGCCAAAACUGACGCUCAGGCACGAAAGCGUGGGUAGCGAACAGGAUUAGAUACCCUGGUAGUCCACGCCGUAAACGAUGAUCACUCGUUGUUGACGACACAUUGUCAGUGACCAAGCGAAAGCGAUAAGUGAUCCACCUGGGGAGUACGUUCGCAAGAAUGAAACUCAAAGGAAUUGACGGGGGCCCGCACAAGCGGUGGAGCAUGUGGUUUAAUUCGAUGAUACGCGAGGAACCUUACCUGGGCUCAAAUGUAAGUUGACAGGUCCUGAAAGGGAUUUUUCUUCGGACAAUUUACAAGGUGCUGCAUGGUUGUCGUCAGCUCGUGCCGUGAGGUGUCGGGUUAAGUCCCAUAACGAGCGCAACCCCUAUCAUUAGUUGCCAUCAGGUCAAGCUGGGGACUCUAAUGAAACUGCCUACGCAAGUAGAGAGGAAGGUGGGGAUGACGUCAAAUCAGCACGGCCCUUACGUCCAGGGCUACACACGUGCUACAAUGGCCAGUACAGAGGGCAGCCACCUGGUGGCAGGGAGCGAAUCUCGAAAGCCGGUCUCAGUUCGGAUCGAAGUCUGCAACCCGACUUCGUGAAGCUGGAAUCGCUAGUAAUCGCGCAUCAGCCAUGGCGCGGUGAAUACGUUCCCGGGCCUUGUACACACCGCCCGUCAAGCCAUGGAAGCUGGGGGUACCUGAAGUCGGUAACCGUAAGGAGCUGCCUAGGGUAAAACUAGUGACUGGGGCUAAGUCGCAACAAGGUA